GGUCGCAAGAUUAAAACUCAAAGGAAUUGACGGGGACCCGCACAAGCGGUGGAUGAUGUGGAUUAAUUCGAUGCAACGCGAAAAACCUUACCUACCCUUGACAUGUCUGGAAUCCCGAAGAGAUUUGGGAGUGCUCGCAAGAGAACUGGAACACAGGUGCUGCAUGGCUGUCGUCAGCUCGUGUCGUGAGAUGUUGGGUUAAGUCCCGCAACGAGCGCAACCCUUGUCAUUAGUUGCUACGAAAGGGCACUCUAAUGAGACUGCCGGUGACAAACCGGAGGAAGGUGGGGAUGACGUCAAGUCCUCAUGGCCCUUAUGGGUAGGGCUUCACACGUCAUACAAUGGUCGGGACAGAGGGUUGCCAACCCGCGAGGGGGAGCUAAUCUCAGAAACCCGAUCGUAGUCCGGAUUGCAGUCUGCAACUCGACUGCAUGAAGUCGGAAUCGCUAGUAAUCGCGGAUCAGCAUGUCGCGGUGAAUACGUUCCCGGGUCUUGUACACACCGCCCGUCACACCAUGGGAGUGGGUUUCACCAGAAGUAGUUAGCCUAACCGCAAGGGGGGCGAUUACCACGGUGGGAUUCAUGACUGGGGUGAAGUCGUAACAAGGU
rnacentral:rRNA from 1 species